CCUACGGGUGGCAGCAGUCGAGAAUCAUUCACAAUGGGGGAAACCCUGAUGGUGCGACGCCGCGUGGGGGAAUGAAGGUCUUCGGAUUGUAAACCCCUGUCAUGUGGGAGCAAAUUAAAAAGAUAGUACCACAAGAGGAAGAGACGGCUAACCCUGUGCCAGCAGCCGCGGUAAUAAAGAGGUCUCAAGCGUUGUUCGGAAUCACUGGGCGUAAGGCGUGCGUAGGCUGUUUCGUAAGUCGUGUGUGAAAGGCGCGGGCUCAACCCGCGGACGGCACAUGAUACUGCGAGACUAGAGUAAUGGAGGGGGAACCGGAAUUCUCGGUGUAGCAGUGAAAUGCGUAGAUAUCGAGAGGAACACUCGUGGCGAAGGCGGGUUCCUGGACAUUAACUGACGCUGAGGCACGAAGGCCAGGGGAGCGAAAGGGAUUAGAUACCCGUGUAGUC
rnacentral:rRNA from 1 species